rnacentral:rRNA from 1 species
CUUGGUCUGUACCUGACACACAAAUGCGAAAGGCGUGGGGAGCAAACAGGAUUAGAUACCCCUGGUAGUCCCCCGCCGUAAACGAUGAUCCACUAGAUGUGGGAUGGACUUGUCCGUUCCCGUGUCGUAGGCUAACGCGUUAAGUGAUCCCGCCUGGGGAGUACGAUCCGCAAGAUUAAAACUCAAAGGAAUUGACGGGGGUCCGCACAAGGCGGUGGAACAUGUGGUUUAAUUCGUCACUACGCGAGGAACCUUACCUAGACUUGACAUACAUACGCUAUCCAUAGAAAUAUGGAGUUCCAUAGUUUACUAUGACGUUUGUACAGGUGCUGCAUGGCUGUCGUCAGCUCGUGUCGUGAGAUGUUGGGUUAAGUCCUUUAACGAGCGCAACCCUUACCGUUAGUUGCUACCAUUUAGUUGGGCACUCUAGCGGGACUGCCCUGGGGGAACCAGGAGGAAGGUGGGGAUGACGUCAAGUCCCUCCAUGGCCUUUAUGUCUAGGGCAACACACGUGUUACAAUGGCGAAAACAAAGAGAAGCGAUACCGCGAGGUGGAG